GUCGUAACAAGGUUUCCGUAGGUGAACCUGCGGAAGGAUCAUCAA
rnacentral:rRNA from 1 species